rnacentral:tRNA from 1 species
GCCUGGCUGGCUCAGUCGGUAGAGCAUGCAACUCUUGAUCUCAGGGUUGUGGUUUCGAAUCCCACACUGGGCA